AAUAAUAUAGUAUAUAAGUACAUUUGAUUUCCAAUCAAAAGGAAAGAAAAAUUUAUUUUUC
rnacentral:tRNA from 1 species